GCAAGUCGAAGUUCAGUGAAUAAUGCAACCGAAUAUACAAACAGUUAGGGAUUUAAAUCGUUGAGAGGGUUACAUUCUGAACAUAGCAGCACCAGUCGAACUAGUGAGACCGAAGAAAGUAAUAAGAAGUCGCAUUUAUAUUCAGAAAAGUGUUGACGCUUCGUUUUCUGGAAUGCUACAAACAUAGGUUAAUGGUUCCUCCACUUAUAAUUCCUCGUUUCGAGAAGGCGCCGUCGGGGGUAAGAAGAAGCCGGCUAAUAGUGCAACACCCUUGAGACAUGGAAAAAAAUAAGAUGAAAACUAUUAUGUAUGUGAAAUAAGAUGAAAACUAUUAUGUAUAUGAAGAAGAAAAUAAAAGAAUAUACAUCACACUAUAAGCUUAAUUGGGUGUUAGAUAUAAAAUCAAUGUAAGUCAAAAGUGUUUUUCUUUUUAUUAUAAAUAUGCUUAGAUUCGUCCUGGAGUUAUAAGAAUUAUGAUAUUUUUAAGUUACCUUAAUUAUUUGAAUGAUGACUGUUGUGUAAAUUAUGAAAUUUAAAAUAGGUGUAGAAAUGUUGGCAAUAAAAUAAUAUUAUAUUUCAAUAAUAUAGGAACACAUCUA